rnacentral:rRNA from 1 species
AUUGAACGCUGGCGGCAGGCCUAACACAUGCAAGUCGAGCGGAUGAGAGAAGCUUGCUUCUCGAUUCAGCGGCGGACGGGUGAGUAAUGCCUAGGAAUCUGCCUGGUAGUGGGGGACAACGUUUCGAAAGGAACGCUAAUACCGCAUACGUCCUACGGGAGAAAGCAGGGGACCUUCGGGCCUUGCGCUAUCAGAUGAGCCUAGGUCGGAUUAGCUAGUUGGUGAGGUAAUGGCUAACCAAGGCGACGAUCCGUAACUGGUCUGAGAGGAUGAUCAGUCACACUGGAACUGAGACACGGUCCAGACUCCUACGGGAGGCAGCAGUGGGGAAUAUUGGACAAUGGGCGAAAGCCUGAUCCAGCCAUGCCGCGUGUGUGAAGAAGGUCUUCGGAUUGUAAAGCACUUUAAGUUGGGAGGAAGGGUUGUAGAUUAAUACUCUGCAAUUUUGACGUUACCGACAGAAUAAGCACCGGCUAACUCUGUGCCAGCCGCCGCAGUAAGAC